UUAAAUGUAAAUUUUAGUAUAAUUUAUUUUUUAAUAAAAUAUUUUUUGCAAUAAAUAAUAUUAAAUAUUAAAGAUAUUUAGAUUUAGUAAUAAUUAAAGUAUUAACUUAAUUUGUGCCAGCAGUUGCGGUUAUACAAAUAAUACAAUUAAAUUAUUUUAGUUUUAAUUAAUUGAUAAUAAAAAAAUUUUAAGAAAAAAUUUAUUAAGUGAAAUUUUAAAUUUUUUUAAGAUUAGUAAUUUUUGAUGAUUUAAUAAAUUUUAAUUUUAAACUAGGAUUAGAUACCCUAUUAUUUAAAACUUAACUUUAAAAACUAAAUUAGUAUUAGUUAAAUUCUUGAAAAUUAAAGAUUUUGGCGGUAUUUUAGUCUAUUCAGAGGAACCUGUUCUGUAAUCGAUAAUCCACGAUUUUAUUUACUUUUUUUAUAUUAAUUUAUAUAUCGUCGUAGUUUGAAUAUUUUAUAAGAAAUUAAAUAUUCAAGAUUUUUAUAAUAAAAGAAAUCAGAUCAAGGUGUAGUUUAUAAAGAAGGAGAAAUGGGUUACUAUAAUUAAAAUUUAAGAUAAUUAUUUUUAUAUUAAUUUGAAUAAGGAUUUGAUAGUAAUUUUAACUAAUUUGUUAUAAUGAUUUUAGCUCUAAAAUAUGUACAUAUCGCCCGUCGCUUUCAUUAUAAUGUGAAAUAAGUCGUAACAAAGUAGAUUUACUGGAAAGUGAAUCUAGAUUC
rnacentral:ncRNA from 1 species